UCAGAUAGGAUAUGUAAUUCACACAUGAUGCACGUAUAAAAUUAAUAAAAUCCAGAUAAUUUUCAUUUUGAAAAAAAACAUCAAUUUGGAUUUUAAUAUACAAAAGACUAGUAGGUAAAAAUAACAGUUUCCAAUCUUGUAAUCUAUUUUUAUCUAUAAGUGAAAAUAAUUUGUAAUUUAUAAGUAAAUACUUUUUGAAUUCCGAGCGGAGCGAUUUACGAGUAUUGAAUCUUCAAUAGAUCAAAUCAAUUACAAAUAUGACUAAUUUGAAUUUGAAUAAUUUCAUUAAUGAAACGCAGCAUAAGUUUUUAAACUUAAUAAAUCAAGAAUURAAAUUCG